rnacentral:rRNA from 1 species
CUUGCUUUUGUUGAUGGCGACCGGCGCACGGGUGAGUAACGCGUAUCCAACCUUCCCCUUUACUUCACGGCAUAACCCGGCGAAAGUCGGAUUAAUACCCUAUGUUUUCCGUCGAGGGCAUCUGAAGUGGAAUAAAGAUUUAUCGCUAAGGGAUGGGGAUGCGUCUGAUUAGGUUGUUGGCGGGGUAACGGCCCACCGAGCCUUCGAUCGGUAGGUGUGUUUCUGAGAGGAAGGUCCCCCACACUGGUACUGAGACACGGACCAGACUCCUACGGGAGGCAGCAGUGAGGAAUAUUGGUCAAUGUUGCGAAAGAAAAAAACCAGCCAAGUAGCGUGCAGGAUGACGGCCCUAUGGGUUGUAAACUG